rnacentral:rRNA from 1 species
AGAGUUUGAUCCUGGCUCAGGACGAACGCUGGCGGCGUGCCUAACACAUGCAAGUCGAGCGGAGACAGUGAGUAGCUUGCUAUGAGCUGUUUUAGCGGCGGACGGGUGGGUAACGCGUGAGCAACCUUUCCCAGACAGGGGAAUAACACACCGAAAGGUGUACUAAUACCGCAUAAGACCACGGGAUCACAUGGUUCUGGGGUAAAAGAUUUAUCGGUUUGGGGUGGGCUCGCGUCCGAUUAGGUAGUUGGCGAGGUAACGG